rnacentral:tRNA from 1 species
GUCAGGGUCGCCUAGCUCGGUAUGGCGGUAGCCUGCUAAGUUACUGUCCUUUGGACACGAGGGUUCAAAUCCCUCCCCUGACGCCA